rnacentral:rRNA from 1 species
UACGUAGGAUGCAAGCGUUGUCCGGAUUUACUGGGCGUAAAGCGCGCGCAGGCGGCACAUUAAGUAAGGUGUGAAAUAUCCCGGCUCAACCGGGAGGGUGCACUUUAGACUGAUGAGCUUGAGGUCGGUAGAGGGGGGUGGAAUUGCUGGUGUAGCGGUGAAAUGCGCAGAUAUCAGGAGGAACACCAAUAGCGAAGGCAGCUCGCUGGGACGGUACUGACGCUAAGGCGCGAAGGCGUGGGGAGCGAACAGG